rnacentral:lncRNA from 1 species
AUGGCUCCUGCUGGGUGGAACGGCCCCCUUCACCUAUGUGUGUGUCUGCUGCUGACCUGUGGCUUUGCCCAGGCAGGGAAGCUGCUGGUAGUGCCCAUGGAUGGGAGCCACUGGUUCACCAUGAGGUCAGUGGUGGAGAAACUCAUUCUCAGGGGCAUGAGGUGGUCGUAGUCAGGCCAGAGGUGACUUGGCAACUGGGAAGAUCACUGAACUGCACAGUGAAGACUUACUCAACCUCAUACAUUCUGGAGGAUCUGGACCGAAGUUCAUGGUUUUCGCUGAUUCUCACUGGAAAUCACAAGUACAAAGUCUAUAUCCUCUAGUGACAUGUUCAUCCAGUGGUAUUUUGGACUUAUUUUAUUCAAAUUGUAGAAGUUUGUUUAAGGACAAAAAAUUAGUAGGAUACUCAAACGAGAGUUCUUUUGAUGCAGUAUUUCUGGAUCCUUUUAAUGCCUGUGGCUUUAUUGUUGCCAAAUAUUUCUCCCUCCCCUCUGUGGUCUUCGCUAGGGGAAUAUUUUGCCACUAUCUUGAAGAAGGUGCACAGUGCCCUGCUCCUCUUUCCUAUGUCCCCAGAGGUCUCUUAGGGUUCUCAGAUGCCAUGACUUUCAAGGAGAGAGUGCGGAACCACAUCCUGCACUUUAAGGAACAUUUAUUUGGCCCCAUUUUUUCAAAAAUGCCCUAGAAAUAGUCUCUGAAAUUCUCCAAACACCUGUCACCGUAUAUGAUCUUUACAGCCACACAUCAAUUUGGUUGUUGUGAACUGACUUUGUUUUGGACUAUCCCAAAGCUGUGAUGCCCAACACAGUCUUCAUCAGUGGUACCAGCUGCCAUCAGGGAAAGCCAUUGCCU